rnacentral:tRNA from 5 species
AGGAGUGUAGCUCAGCUGGUAGAGCAUCGGUCUCCAAAACCGAGGGCCGGGGGUUCGAGCCCCUCCACUCCUGCCA